UCACAGAGCCGUUUUACAUAAGCGAUUUUAACUCAAAAAUCCACCUCUAACUGAAUAAAUUACAUUCAAUUGAGUAUAUUUUCUGAUAAACAACAAUAUAAGGAAUCAAAACCCUAAAUUUUUAACACAUUAUUUCUAAUAUAUCAUGAAAACAAAAUCAAAAGGUGGAAAAAAAAAAAAAAACAGCGGAAUUUUGGUUCCGCAGACAUCUCAGUGUUCAUCUCAAAUUUCAUGCUGUAAUUGACCAGAUUACGUCAAAUUGAAAAUUUUAAAUCAUGCUAGACACAAUAAAUAUUAAAAACCCUAAUUAUUGAACUCAUUAUGUUCAAAAUAUGCCGUGAAAUAAAUCAAAUGGCGGAAAAAAAAAAAACCCAAACUUCUUACCUGAUUUUGUGAACCGAAG
rnacentral:lncRNA from 1 species